rnacentral:rRNA from 1 species
UGGGGAAUUUUGGACAAUGGGCGAAAGCCUGAUCCAGCAAUGCCGCGUGUGUGAAGAAGGCCUUCGGGUUGUAAAGCACUUUUGUCCGGAAAGAAAUCCUUGGCUCUAAUACAGUCGGGGGAUGACGGUACCGGAAGAAUAAGCACCGGCUAACUACGUGCCAGCAGCCGCGGUAAUACGUAGGGUGCAAGCGUUAAUCGGAAUUACUGGGCGUAAAGCGUGCGCAGGCGGUUUGCUAAGACCGAUGUGAAAUCCCCGGGCUCAACCUGGGAACUGCAUUAGUGACUGGCAGGCUAGAGUAUGGCAGAGGGGGGUAGAAUUCCACGUGUAGCAGUGAAAUGCGUAGAGAUGUGGAGGAAUACCGAUGGCGAAGGCAGCCCCCUGGGCCAAUACUGACGCUCAUGCACGAAAGCGUGGGGAGCAAACAGGAUUAGAUACCCUGGUAGUCCACGCCCUAAACGAUGUCAACUAAUUGUUGGGGAUUCAUUUCCUUAGUAACGUAGCUAACGCGUGAAGUUGACCGCCUGGGGAGUACGGUCGCAAGAUUAAAACUCAAAGGAAUUGACGGGGUCAUAGCUGUUUCCU